rnacentral:rRNA from 1 species
ACCUAGCACGUUAUGGUGGGCGACUCUAAGGAGACUGCCGGUGACAAACCGGAGGAAGGUGGGGAGUGACAUCAAGUCAUCAUGGCCCUUACGGCCUGGGCUACACACGUGCUACAAUGGUCGGUACAAAGGGUUGCCAAGCCGCGAGGUGGAGCUAAUCCCAUAAAACCGAUCGUAGUCCGGAUCGCAGUCUGCAACUCGACUGCGUGAAGUCGGAAUCGCUAGUAAUCGUGAAUCAGAAUGUCACGGUGAAUACGUUCCCGGGCCUU